rnacentral:rRNA from 1 species
UACGUAGGGGGCAAGCGUUGUCCGGAAUCAUUGGGCGUAAAGAGCGUGUAGGCGGCUCGGUAAGUCCGCUGUGAAAGUCCAGGGCUCAACCCUGGAAUGCCGGUGGAAACUGUCGAGCUAGAGUCCGGAAGAGGCGAGUGGAAUUCCUGGUGUAGCGGUGAAAUGCGCAGAUAUCAGGAGGAACACCAAUGGCGAAGGCGGCGAGCUGGCCUGUACCUGACGCUGAGGCGCGACAGCGUGGGGAGCAAACAGG